rnacentral:lncRNA from 1 species
CUGGCUCUUGGUGGGAUACCACUGAAAGUGAGCCAUAGGAUGGCGCCCACCCCUGUCCUCCCCAUGAGACGUAUCCAACAAUUCAAGUCUGGCCCACAGUAGCACUGGUCAUAAUCUAUCUGUCUGUCCACGCUGGUCGUGGGUAGGUCCAGCAGCGAUAGUUCUCUACUUGACAUGCUGGUGUUGUGGCUCUAAAGAACUGCCUAGGUAUGGGAUCCAACUUUGUGUCACAGAGGAAAUGGAUUCCAGCUUCCUGGCUUGACACUGAGUGCUGGAUCCUGAGCCCAGAAGAAAUCCAGAGUUGAGUUAGAAGUCUAGCUGGUAGCUGGUCAUCUAUACUGCACUCGGAUGAGGGCAAAAGGCAGCAGUAGAGACACUCAGUGCCCCAUUCCCAGAUGAGGAGGGCUUCUCUCAGCUACCCACGCGGCCUUUCCUCACUGUCUCUCGGCCUGGCCGCACAAACCUAUUGGAGGCUACGCAAAAGACAGAUGACAUCGAGGCAAGACCUAGAAGCCAGCGGGAGCAAACAAAAUAAAAGUUGACUGGAGCGUGGACACAGGAGCGUGGGCACAGAAGCGUGGACACACAGCCCUAGACUGGAGCGUGGACACACAGCUCCUUACCUCAAAGCGGGUAAGGAAAUUCUGAGAACAGAUGUUGACGGAAGUUGACCUUCAACCAAAACCUGUGCAUUCAGAAAGUACCGACCACAGCUUCCUCCCCCAGAUGACUGUAGCCUGAAACUGCUCCUUCACAGAGACCACCUAUGGAGAUAAGCUGAGCCAUCUCUUCAUCUGUGCCAUAUCUCAUAAACACAUUGAGCUUCAGGACUACUGCUUGUAUGUCUCCAUCUGAGUGCAUGGCCACUGGGUCCCAGCCUUACAUAAUUUAUACCUAUCUUAUUCUUCAUGGCCCCCAGUCUGAUCACAGCCGUGUGGGUUUCUGCAGGAAGUCCUUUCUGAAGGGCGUCAAGGGUGGUCGCAUACUGAUACUAUUGAUAGAUGAUCACCAUUCCUAAGCAUGAUCAAUCCACCUCUUGCCUUCCAGACUCAGUGAUGAGGGAGGAGGCUGGGGCUCCUCUGGCAUCAGAUAAUCAGGAAGGGGUUUGAGAUAGUUGCCUUGUGUUCCCAAACCAGCCCAUCUCAAAAUAAAGACAUUUUCGGC